UGAAGCCCGUUGAAGACUACGACGUUGAUAGGCAAGGUGUGGAAGCGCAGUAAUGCGUGAAGCUAACUUGUACUAAUUGGCUGAUUGUCUUGACCAUAUAAUCUGAG
rnacentral:rRNA from 1 species